CUUCAAGUCCGGCUGGAGAUUCCUUUUAGACUACGACGCAGUUCCUGCUGUUGUCGUUCAGUUGGUGUACAACAUGGAGAAGAGGUUCCAGGAGAUUUCAAUUUUAUGUCUAGGGGUGAAUUCCCUAAUUUAUAGUGAAUCUCAGAAAUGUGCUUUAAGAAGAUAUAUGCAGAAGCUCAAACUGAAGGUCCCGAACAGAAGCACGAUCACUGUUUAAUGAAGUACACUCGGCUUCAAUUGGUGCACACACAGGCACUGUUAAAACCAGAUCCUCAAUGUACUCCAGAAAUUAUUGGGAUGGCAUGACAGUGGACAUUGACUGAUGGGUGUCUGAAUGCGACGGAUGUCAGAGGACUGGUAACUCUUUGGCUGUGUGUGACACAGCCAUUACAAAGCAUUAAGGUGUCUGCUGUUUGGGAGUUGGUUGGGAUAGACCUGACUGGGCCUCUCCCAAAAACCAAGGAUGGCUUUCAGUACAUUCUUACUGCCACCGAUUAUUUUUCCAAACACAGAUGCCCCCAAAGAAUCCUGUCCGACCAAGGAAGAGAAUUUGUCAAUUAGCUCAACGAUAACCUUUGUGCCCUCCUGUGCAUUGAAAGGAGUGUUACAGCUGCAUAUCAUCCUAAAACGAAUGGGCUGGAUGAGAGGACAAAUAGCAACAUAAAACGG